CCCCUAGACGUUCUGGGCUGCACGCGCGCUACAAUAAUACGCACAGCGAGUAUCACCGAGCUCGAAAGGGCAAGGUAAACAAUAGAAAGGGUACUGUAAUGGUUAUAGAUCCUUGUAAUUAUUGAUCUUCAACGAGGAAUUCCUAGUAAGUAUGUGUCAUCAUCACGCACUGAUUACGUCCCUGCCCUUUGUACACACCGCCCGUCGCUCCUACCGAUUGAGUGAGCCGAUGAAACUGCCGGAUGUGGACUAUUCAUAGUCUGCAGAAGAUAUUUGAAUCGUAGCGCUUAGAGGAAGGAGAAGUCGUAACA
rnacentral:rRNA from 1 species